rnacentral:rRNA from 1 species
UACGGGAGGCAGCAGUGGGGAAUAUUGCACAAUGGGCGCAAGCCUGAUGCAGCCAUGCCGCGUGUAUGAAGAAGGCCUUCGGGUUGUAAAGUACUUUCAGUCGUGAGGAAGGUGUUAAGGUUAAUAACCUUAGCAAUUGACGUUAGCGACAGAAGAAGCACCGGCUAACUCCGUGCCAGCAGCCGCGGUAAUACGGAGGGUGCGAGCGUUAAUCGGAAUUACUGGGCGUAAAGGGCACGCAGGCGGUUAAUUAAGUUGGAUGUGAAAUCCCCGGGCUUAACCUGGGAAUGGCAUUCAAGCUGGUUAGCUAGAGUCUUGUAGAGGGGGUAGAAUUCCAUGUGUAGCGGUGAAAUGCGUAGAGAUGUGGAGGAAUCCGGUGGCGAAGGCGGCCCCUGGACAAAGGCUGACGCUCAUGUGCGAAAGCGUGGGGAGCAAACGAGGGAUUAGAUACC